AUCAGCAUGCCGCGUGUGUGAAGAAGGCCUUCGGGUUGUAAAGCACUUUUGUCCGGAAAGAAAUCGCUCUGGCUAAUACCUGGGGUGGAUGACGGUACCGGAAGAAUAAGCACCGGCUAACUACGUGCCAGCAGCCGCGGUAAUACGUAGGGUGCGAGCGUUAAUCGGAAUUACUGGGCGUAAAGCGUGCGCAGGCGGUUUUGUAAGACAGGCGUGAAAUCCCCGGGCUCAACCUGGGAAUUGCGCUUGUGACUGCAAGGCUAGAGUGCGUCAGAGGGGGGUAGAAUUCCACGUGUAGCAGUGAAAUGCGUAAAGAUGUGGAGGAAUACCGAUGGCGAAGGCAGCCCCCUGGGACGUGACUGACGCUCAUGCACGAAAGCGUGGGGAGCAAACAGGAUUAGAUACCCUGGUAGUCCACGCCCUAAACGAUGUCAACUAGUUGUUGGGGAUUCAUUUUCUCAGUAACGUAGCUAACGCGUGAAGUUGACCGCCUGGGGAGUACGGUCGCAAGAUUAAAACUCAAAUGAAUUGACGGAGG
rnacentral:rRNA from 1 species